UAAGACGGUCCAGAAUGAUGUAUUUUUCACCAAAAUAUUUAGGUCAUUAAACUUGAAAAUUUGAGGGAUGACCUCAUUUAAUCUCCAGUAGCAAUUUGACCUGAAUGGGGGAAUUAUGCGUCUGGAUCGUCUUAC
rnacentral:ncRNA from 1 species